GAUGAACGCUGGCGGCGUGCCUAAUACAUGCGAGUCGAGCGAACAGACGAGGAGCUUGCUCCUCUGACGUUAGCGGCGGACGGGUGAGUAACACGUGGAUAAUCUACCUAUAAGACUGGGAUAACUUCGGGAAACCGGAGCUAAUACCGGAUAAUAUAUUGAACCGCAUGGUUCAAUAGUGAAAGACGGUUUUGCUGUCACUUAUAGAUGGAUCCGCGCCGCAUUAGCUAGUUGGUAAGGUAACGGCUUACCAAGGCAACGAUGCGUAGCCGACCUGAGAGGGUGAUCGGCCACACUGGAACUGAGACACGGUCCAGACUCCUACGGGAGGCAGCAGUAGGGAAUCUUCCGCAAUGGGCGAAAGCCUGACGGAGCAACGCCGCGUGAGUGAUGAAGGUCUUCGGAUCGUAAAACUCUGUUAUUAGGGAAGAACAAAUGUGUAAGUAACUAUGCACGUCUUGACGGUACCUAAUCAGAAAGCCACGGCUAACUACGUG
rnacentral:rRNA from 1 species